rnacentral:rRNA from 1 species
AUUGAACGCUGGCGGCAGGCCUAACACAUGCAAGUCGAGCGGAUGAAGGGAGCUUGCUCCUGGAUUCAGCGGCGGACGGGUGAGUAAUGCCUAGGAAUCUGCCUGGUAGUGGGGGAUAACGUCCGGAAACGGGCGCUAAUACCGCAUACGUCCUGAGGGAGAAAGUGGGGGAUCUUCGGACCUCACGCUAUCAGAUGAGCCUAGGUCGGAUUAGCUAGUUGGUGGGGUAAAGGCCUACCAAGGCGACGAUCCGUAACUGGUCUGAGAGGAUGAUCAGUCACACUGGAACCGAGACACGGUCCAGACUCCUACGGGAGGCAGCAGUGGGGAAUAUUGGACAAUGGGCGAAAGCCUGAUCCAGCCAUGCCGCGUGUGUGAAGAAGGUCUUCGGAUUGUAAAGCACUUUAAGUUGGGAGGAAGGGCAGUAAAUUAAUACCUUGCUGUUUUGACGUUACCAACAGAAUAAGCACCGGCUAACUUCGUG